GUGGGCCUGGCUUUUGCCAGGUGCUCCUGUGGGCUCCGGGUGACGUCCAAAGGGUGUGGCCCGACUGGCCCUCCAAGCUAUGGAGUAUCCAUAGUAACGCGUCAGCCGCCGACCUCGGGCCAUUUUCCCAAGGCUCCAGGAUCUCUAGAUGUCCCGUCGUCUCAAGGGCGUGUAGAACGCGGGUUUUGGGGGAGGAAUGAACAAAAAUCGACUGGGAGUUUUUUCAAAACACGUACAUAUGCCCUGCCACCCACCCCGCUCUCCUAGGUGCGUCAGAACUGCUGGGACAUCUGUCACGUGAAGGGUCACGUGUACUUGGGGAAGAACUCCCCCGGUGAUUCUGACACUCUUGCCCUACGCCUCAGCCAUUGAGAACUAUUGGUAUGGAGGGCCUGUAAUUUAUCAAGGCGCGGCCUCAGAUCUGUCUGCCUCGCAGAUACCUUCCUCACCCGGGUCAGAAUGACUUGCCUCAGGCUCCUGCCAAAGAGUUUGCACCACUCGUUUCUUCCCUGCUGGUCUUGAACUCCUGGCCUCAAGCAAUCCUCUUUCC
rnacentral:lncRNA from 1 species